CGCCAAGAAGCUGAAUAAGGGGACAGCGUUAGCCUUUUAAGCUAAAGAAUGGUGACUCCCAACCACCCUUGACGA
rnacentral:tRNA from 1 species